CAUUGUUGUCUCUUAACUUAUUUUAUGAGAGUCAAAAUUGUAGCAAACUCUGUCAAAAUAUUAUUUUGAAGAUGACAAAGGAAAUGAAAUUAGUAGUUAUAGCAGUCAUUUGUUUAAUUAGCAUCACCUAUGCUUCCGUAAUUAAAAAUUAUACAGAUUUUUCUGAAAUUUCUGGAUUUGAACUGAACGGAAGCGAAAGGUUUGUAAC